rnacentral:rRNA from 1 species
AUCUAAGUACCCCGAGGAAAAGAAAUCAACCGAGAUUCCCCCAGUAGCGGCGAGCGAACGGGGAGCAGCCCAGAGUCUGAAUCAGCUUGUGUGUUAGUGGAACGGUCUGGAAAGUCCGACGGUACAGGGUGAUAGUCCCGUACACCAAAAUGCACAGGCUGUGAACUCGAAGAGUAGGGCGGGACACGUGGUAUCCUGUCUGAAUAUGGGGGGACCAUCCUCCAAGGCUAAAUACUCCUGACUGACCGAUAGUGAACCAGUACCGUGAGGGAAAGGCGAAAAGAACCCCGGCGAGGGGAGUGAAAAAGAACCUGAAACCGUGUACGUACAAGCAGUGGGAGCACCUUCGGGUGUGACUGCGUACCUUUUGUAUAAUGGGUCAGCGACUUAUAUUCUGUAGCAAGGUUAACCGUAUAGGGGAGCCGCAGGGAAACCGAGUCUUAACUGGGCGUUAAGUUGCAGGGUAUAGACCCGAAACCCGGUGAUCUAGCCAUGGGCAGGUUGAAGGUUGGGUAACACUAACUGGAGGACCGAACCGACUAAUGUUGAAAAAUUAGCGGAUGACUUGUGGCUGGGGGUGAAAGGCCAAUCAAACCGGGAGAUAGCUGGUUCUCCCCGAAAGCUAUUUAGGUAGCGCCUCGUGAACUCAUCUUCGGGGGUAGAGCACUGUUUCGGCUAGGGGGUCAUCCCGACUUACCAACCCGAUGCAAACUACGAAUACCGAAGAAUGUUAUCACGGGAGACACACGGCGGGUGCUAACGUCCGUCGUGAAGAGGGAAACAACCCAGACCGCCAGCUAAGGUCCCAAAGUCAUGGUUAAGUGGGAAACGAUGUGGGAAGGCACAGACAGCCAGGAUGUUGGCUUAGAAGCAGCCAUCAUUUAAAGAAAGCGUAAUAGCUCACUGGUCGAGUCGGCCUGCGCGGAAGAUGUAACGGGGCUAAACCAUGCACCGAAGCUGCGGCAGCGACACUAUGUGUUGUUGGGUAGGGGAGCGUUCUGUAAGCCUGCGAAGGUGACCUGUGAGGGUUGCUGGAGGUAUCAGAAGUGCGAAUGCUGACAUAAGUAACGAUAAAGCGGGUGAAAAGCCCGCUCGCCGGAAGACCAAGGGUUCCUGUCCAACGUUAAUCGGGGCAGGGUGAGUCGACCCCUAAGGCGAGGCCGAAAGGCGUAGUCGAUGGGAAACAGGUUAAUAUUCCUGUACUUGGUGUUACUGCGAAGGGGGGACGGAGAAGGCUAUGUUAGCCGGGCGACGGUUGUC